GACAGCGCGCAGCGGCCAAUCAUAACCGUCCGCAGAUUCCCCACCAUGGCCCUGGAAACCGACAAACGAGUAAAAAAAAAAGAAAAGAGACGGAGAAAAAACCAAACGCACCACCGCUUCCCUCCGCACAACCAAUACCAGCACACUGUCAGCGUUGGUCGACAACACGAGAACUGACUGUAAGCACAUCACCAUCCAGCCUACACUGAACUUUGGAGCACUGGUAUUUCUUCUUUGAAGAGAAGAUUACAACUACACGUUGAGGAUGAAAAUUGGAGCUGUUUAUAUCCUUCUAAUGGCAAUUCUUCUUGGCGACUACAAUCUCCGAGGCGUCGCAGCUGGUCCAAAACCAGCUUUCACCGCUACUAUGACUGCACCGUCAGGCACCGCCCACGC